GACGAACGCUGGCGGCGUGCUUAACACAUGCAAGUCGAACGGAAAGGCCCUGCUUUUGUGGGGUGCUCGAGUGGCGAACGGGUGAGUAACACGUGAGUAACCUGCCCUUGACUUUGGGGUAACUUCAGGAAACUGGGGCUAAUACCGGAUAGGAGCUCCUGCUGCAUGGUGGGGGUUGGAAAGUUUCGGCGGUUGGGGAUGGACUCGCGGCUUAUCAGCUUGUUGGUGGGGUAGUGGCUUACCAAGGCUUUGACGGGUAGCCGGCCUGAGAGGGUGACCGGCCACAUUGGGACUGAGAGACGGCCCAGACUCCAACGGGAGGCAGCAGUGGGGAAUAUUGCACAAUGGGCGGAAGCCUGAUGCAGCAACGCCGCGUGCGUGAUGACGGCCUGCGGGUUGUAAACCGCUUUCGCCUGUGACGAAGCGUGAGUGACGGUAAUGGGUAAAGAAGCACCGGCUAACUACGUG
rnacentral:rRNA from 1 species